UAAAAGCUGAAAUUUUGAACCUGGUCUGC
rnacentral:piRNA from 1 species